GACGAACGCUGGCGGCGUGCCUAAUACAUGCAAGUCGAACGCAGGGGGGACGGGUGAGUAACACGUGGGUAACCUCCCAUCAGAGGGGAUAACACUUGGCAACAGGUGCUAAACCGCUACUGAUGGAUGGACGCGGGGUGCAUUAGCUACUUGGUGAGGGAACGGCUCACCAAGGCCACGAUGCAUAGCUGACCGGAGAGGGUGAUCGGCCACACUGGGACUGAGACACGGCCCAGACUCCUACGGGAGGCAUCAGUGGGGAAUCGUCGGCAAUGGACGAAAGUCUGACCGAGCAACGCCGCGUGAUUGAAGAAGGUUUUCGGAUCGUAAAACUCUUUUGUUAGAGAGGCGGUAUCUAACCAGAAAGCAACGGCUAACUACGUGCCAGCAGCCGCGGUAAUAC
rnacentral:rRNA from 1 species